UGAACCUAACAAAUGAAUUUUUAUUUAUAAUAGUGAUCGGAUGAUAUAUUUUCAAAAACCUCUUGUAAUAUUCACUUUUUUAUUAGGUAAAAAACAAUGUGAGUUCUAUUAUUAUAUAUGAAUUACAUUUUUAAAGUGUGGAUGCUGAGUUGAAAAGAAACCGUUCUCAGAAGUUUUCACAAACAAAAUAAUAAGUGUAACAAAAAAACAAAAUAAUAAGUGAAUUGUUA
rnacentral:lncRNA from 1 species